CACCAGCACUGACACUGGCCGUGCUCAGAACUGCCUCAGCCCUGAAGACACAACUGACAAAUAGAAGGGGGCCACGCCCUGUUACAGCAGGUGCUCUCACUUUGCGGGUCCUUAUGUAACUGCGAGGCGUUAUUCAGGAUCGCCCGUUCUACAUAGUGUGACGCUGCUGCGGUCUCUCCUAGUUAUUUUUCUGAUCUGAGGAACAGGAGCAAGGAACUCAGGAAGAGAUCCAGGAAGACAACUGAGUGUGUUAAGAGACGACAGUUACAGCGACACAGGGAGUGAGGACACUUGCAGCAAAGUAAAAUAACUUCACAACUGUUGCAUCAGAGAUGAGGGUGUGAGAGAGCCUAAGCCUGUCUCAGAGUGCAGGGGACAAGUGGAAAGGAAUGUGUAAGAAUGCAGGUGACUCAGUUAGAAGCAUGCUUCAAAGCUGUCCGUGUCCUUGCCAUCCAGAAGCGGAG